rnacentral:rRNA from 1 species
CGGACGGGUGAGUAAUGUCUGGGAAACUGCCUGAUGGAGGGGGGUAACUACUGGAAACGGUAGCUAAUACCGCAUAACGUCGCAAGACCAAAGAGGGGGACCUUCGGGCCUCUUGCCAUCGGAUGUGCCCAGAUGGGAUUAGCUAGUAGGUGGGGUAACGGCUCACCUAGGCGACGAUCCCUAGCUGGUCUGGGAGGAUGACCAGCCACACUGGAACUGAGACACGGUCCAG